CCUACGGGAGGCAGCAGUGGGGAAUAUUGGGCAAUGGGCGCAAGCCUGACCCAGCAACGCCGCGUGAAGGAAGAAGGCUUUCGGGUUGUAAACUUCUUUUCUCAGGGACGAAGAAAGUGACGGUACCUGAGGAAUAAGCUACGGCUACCUACGUGCCAGCAGCCGCGGUAAUACGUAGGUGGCAAGCGUUAUCAGGAUUUAUUGGGUGUAAAGGGCGGGUAGGCGGGAGCGCAAGUCAGAGGUGAAAACUCAGGGCUCAACCCUGAGCCUGCAUUUGAAACUGUGUUUCUUGAGUGCUGGAGAGGCGAGCGGAAUUCCGGGUGUAGCAGUGAAAUGCGUAGAUAUACGGAGGAACACCAGGGGCGAAGGCGAAUUGCUGGACAAUAACUGACGCUGAGGCGCGAAAGCGUGGGGAGCAAACAGGAUUAGAUACCCCAGUAGUC
rnacentral:rRNA from 1 species